rnacentral:rRNA from 1 species
CGGCCACAUUGGAACUGAGACACGGUCCAAACUCCUACGGGAGGCAGCAGUGGGGAAUAUUGCACAAUGGGCGAAAGCCUGAUGCAGCAACGCCGCGUGAGUGAUGAAGGCCUUCGGGUCGUAAAACUCUGUCCUCAAGGAAGAUAAUGACGGUACUUGAGGAGGAAGCCCCGGCUAACUACGUGCCAGCAGCCGCGGUAAUACGUAGGGGGCUAGCGUUAUCCGGAUUUACUGGGCGUAAAGGGUGCGUAGGCGGUCUUUCAAGUCAGGAGUGAAAGGCUACGGCUCAACCGUAGUAAGCUCUUGAAACUGGGAGACUUGAGUGCAGGAGAGGAGAGUGGAAUUCCUAGUGUAGCGGUGAAAUGCGUAGAUAUUAGGAGGAACACCAGUUGCGAAGGCGGCUCUCUGGACUGUAACUGACGCUG